AUUGAACGCUGGCGGCAGGCUUAACACAUGCAAGUCGAGCGAGCGGCGGGCGGGUGAGUAAUGUCUGGGAAACUGCCUGAUGGAGGGGGAUAACUACUGGAAACGGUAGCUAAUACCGCAUACCAUCGGAUGUGCCCAGAUGGGAUUAGCUAGUCGGUGGGGUAAAGGGUCACAUAGGUGACGAUCCCUAGCGGGUCUGAGAGGAUGACCAGCGACACUGGAACGGGGACACGGUCCAGAGUCCUACGGGAGGGAGCAGUGGGGAACAUUGGACAAUGGGCGCAAGCAUGAUGCAGUCAUGCCGCGUGUGUGAAGAAGGCCCUGGGGUUGUAAAGUACUUUCAGCGGGGAGGCGUUACUUGUAUAAGAAGCACCGGCUAACUCCGUGCCAGCAGCCGCGGUAAUUC
rnacentral:rRNA from 1 species